AGUGAACGCUGGCGGUAGGCCUAACACAUGCAAGUCGAACGGCAGCACAGUAAGAGCUUGCUCUUACGGGUGGCGAGUGGCGGACGGGUGAGGAAUACAUCGGAAUCUACUUUUUCGUGGGGGAUAACGUAGGGAAACUUACGCUAAUACCGCAUACGACCUACGGGUGAAAGCAGGGGAUCUUCGGACCUUGCGCGAUUGAAUGAGCCGAUGUCGGAUUAGCUAGUUGGCGGGGUAAAGGCCCACCAAGGCGACGAUCCGUAGCUGGUCUGAGAGGAUGAUCAGCCACACUGGAACUGAGACACGGUCCAGACUCCUACGGGAGGCAGCAGUGGGGAAUAUUGGACAAUGGGCGCAAGCCUGAUCCAGCUAUACCGCGUGGGUGAAGAAGGCCUUCGGGCUGUAAAGCCCUUUUGUUGGGAAAGAAAAGCAGCAGGUUAAUACCCCGCUGUUCUGACGGUACCCAAAGAAUAAGCACCGGCUAACUUCGUG
rnacentral:rRNA from 1 species